GACGAACGCUGGCGGCGUGCCUAACACAUGCAAGUCGAACGGGGGUAUUUAUUUCGAUGAAUACCUUAGUGGCGAACGGGUGAGUAACGCGUGAGCAACCUAUCCUUAAGAGGGGGAUAACAUCUGGAAACAGAUGCUAAUACCGCAUAAGACCACACUGCCGCAUGGCAGAGGGGUCAAAGGAGCAAUCCGUUUAAGGAGGGGCUCGCGUCCCAUUAGAUAGUUGGUGAGGUAACAGCUCACCAAGUCAGCGACGGGUAGCCGAGCUGAAAGGCUGAUCGGCCACACUGGAACUGAGACACGGUCCAGACUCCUACGGGAGGCAGCAGUGGGGAAUAUUGGGCAAUGGGGGGAACCCUGACCCAGCAACGCCGCGUGAGGGAAGAAGGCCUUCGGGUUGUAAACCUCUGUCAUUAGGGAAGAAGAAAGUGACGGUACCUAAUGAGGAAGCCCCGGCUAACUACGUGCCAGCAGCCGCAGUAAAAC
rnacentral:rRNA from 1 species